rnacentral:rRNA from 1 species
AUGCACACGGCCGGCGCGCACACCGUCUCGGAACUGUGCGCGCUCGCGGUCGACGACACGACACCGGGCGCCUACGACACGCCAAAACGGGGCCUGUCGCACGCCAAAACCCACGCGCCCCCCCCCGUUCGCACGCACGCACGCACGCGUGCGCCCGCGGACGUCUUGCAGGCCCCAUCGCAUGCACAUGCACCUGCGAGGGACCCCGGCCGGUCAAAGGCGACAGCUCGGAGUGAAUGCCCCGUCCCCGCACGUCAGGUCGAUCGAUCGACCCGAUCGGAACUGGCCCUAAAUGCCCAUGCAGCCCCACCUACCCCCACCUGUUCCGUUUCAAUGCGCUGCCUGGCUCCGGCCGGUGUCGUCCGUCGCCUCAGGCAACCUGCCCGUGCAUACCAAGUAUAG